GAAUUUUUCGCAAUGGGGGAAACCCUGACGAAGCAACGCCGCGUGGAGGAUGAAGGCCUUCGGGUCGUAAACUCCUGUCGACCGGGAAGAAUGCCCACGACCUAAUACGUCGGCGUGUUGACUGUACCGGUGGAGGAAGCCACGGCUACCUCUGUGCCAGCCGCCGCGGUAAGACAGAGGUGGCAAGCGUUGUUCGGAAUUACUGGGCGUAAAGGGCGCGUAGGCGGUUCGCCAAGUCCCGUGUGAAAGCCCCCGGCUCAACUGGGGAAUUGCGCGGGAAACUAGCGGGCUUGAGUUCGGGAGAGGGAAGCGGAAUUCCGGGUGUAGCGGUGAAAUGCGCAGAUAUCCGGAGGAACACCGGUGGCGAAGGCGGCUUCCUGGACCGACACUGACGCUGAGGCGCGAAAGCUAGGGGAGGAAACGGG
rnacentral:rRNA from 1 species